CUAUUCUCAUGAGGGUGUAAUAGCAGGAGCUAAGGCAUCAGUUAUUGCUAGUAUUGCAACUGCCAUUCCAACUGUGGCUAGUGCGAGGAUGCUGCCUUGGGCAAGGGCCAAUCUCAAUCACACUGCUCAAGCCCUCAUAAUCUCCACAG